rnacentral:tRNA from 3 species
GCGGAUAUGGCGGAAUUGGCAGACGCGUUGGAUUUAGGAUCCAAUAUCUUCUGAUGUGCAGGUUCAAGUCCUGUUAUCCGCACCA